rnacentral:rRNA from 1 species
UGGGGAAUAUUGCACAAUGGGCGAAAGCCUGAUGCAGCAACGCCGCGUGAGUGAUGAAGGCCUUCGGGUUGUAAAGCUCUGUCUUUUGGGACGAUAAUGACGGUACCAAAGGAGGAAGCCACGGCUAACUACGUGCCAGCAGCCGCGGUAAUACGUAGGUGGCAAGCGUUGUCCGGAUUUACUGGGCGUAAAGGAUGCGUAGGCGGAUUUUUAAGUGAGAUGUGAAAACCCUAAGCUUAACUUGGGGACUGCAUUUCAUACUGGAAAUCUAGAGUGCGGGAGAGGAGAAUGGAAUUCCUAGUGUAGCGGUGAAAAUGCGUAGAGAUUAGGAAGAAACACCAGUGGCGAAGGCGAUUCUCUGGACCAAU